rnacentral:rRNA from 1 species
UACGUAGGGUGCAAGCGUUAAUCGGAAUUACUGGGCGUAAAGCGUGCGCAGGCGGGUUUGUAAGUCUGACGUGAAAUCCCCGGGCUCAACCUGGGAAUUGCGUUGGAGACUGCAAGGCUGGAGUUUGGCAGAGGGGGGUAGAAUUCCACGCGUAGCAGUGAAAUGCGUAGAGAUGUGGAGGAAUACCGAUGGCGAAGGCAGCCCCCUGGGUCAAGACUGACGCUCAUGCACGAAAGCGUGGGGAGCAAACAGG